CCUUAGUUACCAGCACGUUAUGUGGGCGACUCUAAGGAGACUGCCGGUGACAAACCGGAGGAAGUGGGGAUGACGUCAAGUCAUCAUGGCCCUUACGGCCUGGGCUACACACGUGCUACAAUGGUCGGUACAAAGGGUUGCCAAGCCGCGAGGUGGAGCUAAUCCCAUAAAACCGAUCGUAGUCCGGAUCGCAGUCUGCAACUCGACUGCGUGAAGUCGGAAUCGCUAGUAAUCGUGAAUCAGAAUGUCACGGUGAAUACGUUCCCGGGCCUU
rnacentral:rRNA from 1 species